rnacentral:rRNA from 1 species
AGCAGUCGCCGCGGGAAUACGAAGGGGGCUAGCGUUGUUCGGAAUUACUGGGCGUAAAGCGCACGUAGGCGGACAUUUAAGUCAGGGGUGAAAUCCCGGGGCUCAACCCCGGAACUGCCUUUGAUACUGGGUGUCUAGAGUAUGGAAGAGGUGAGUGGAAUUCCGAGUGUAGAGGUGAAAUUCGUAGAUAUUCGGAGGAACACCAGUGGCGAAGGCGGCUCACUGGUCCAUUACUGACGCUGAGGUGCGAAAGCGUGGGGAGCAAACAGGAUUAGAUACCCGCGUAGUCCCUGUCUCUUAUAC